CACUAUAUUGUGGCCACAUUAUUUACUUAACAGGAUUAGAAAAUGGCAAAUUGAAAAAGAAAAUAAAGCUUCAUAAGUUCCAUAAAUAACUACAAACUUGAACUCUGGACGAAGAGAUCACUAACACAAGCAAAGAAUAGAAUAAAAUACAGCAAGACAGCAUGAUACAUUUUUGGCCUGAAAUCUCACUAAAUGGAAUCAUUAUGUAGAAUAUUGGAAAUAGGCAUCAAAAAUCAAAUAGAGAAUAAAACAGCAAAAGGGAUAAAAUAGAAGAAAUACUUCACUCACAAUAAUCAGUAACAAAUAUAACAUUAGCUCGUGUUGAGGCUGCGGUAUUCAGGGAUCUGUCGAUUUUGAUACCGAUUUCAAUAACCAGAAAAAAAGAAGUAUACCAAGACAAAUAACCAUUGCAAACAUGUGUCAUUUUGCACAUUAACCA
rnacentral:sRNA from 1 species